CCUACGGGGAGCUGCAGUGAGGAAUAUUGGUCAAUGGACGGAAGUCUGAACCAGCCAUGCCGCGUGCAGGAAGAAGGCUCUAUGAGUUGUAAACUGCUUUUGUACAGGGGUAAACCUGAAUACGUGUAUUCAGCUGACAGUACUGUACGAAUACAGAUCGGCAAACUCCGUGCCAGCAGCCGAGGUAAUACGGAGGAGACAAGCGUUAUCCGGACUUAUUGGGUUUAAAGGGAGCGUAGGCGGAUUUAUAAGUUAGAGGUGAAAUGUCAGAGCUUAACUCUGGAACUGCAUCUGAUACUGUUGAUCUAGAGAGUAGAUGCGGUAGGUGGAAUGUAUGGUGUAGCGGUGAAAUGCUUAGAGAUCA
rnacentral:rRNA from 1 species